rnacentral:rRNA from 1 species
CGGUAACAGGAAACAGCUUGCUGUUUCGCUGACGAGUGGCGGACGGGUGAGUAAUGUCUGGGAAACUGCCUGAUGGAGGGGGAUAACUACUGGAAACGGUAGCUAAUACCGCAUAACGUCGCAAGACCAAAGAGGGGGACCUUCGGGCCUCUUGCCAUCGGAUGUGCCCAGAUGGGAUUAGCUAGUAGGUGGGGUAACGGCUCACCUAGGCGACGAUCCCUAGCUGGUCUGAGAGGAUGACCAGCCACACUGGAACUGAGACACGGUCCAGACUCCUACGGGAGGCAGCAGUGGGGAAUAUUGCACAAUGGGCGCAAGCCUGAUGCAGCCAUGCCGCGUGUAUGAAGAAGGCCUUCGGGUUGUAAAGUACUUUCAGCGGGGAGGAAGGGAGUAAAGUUAAUACCUUUGCUCAUUGACGUUACCCGCAGAAGAAGCACCGGCUAACUCCGUGCCAGCAGCCGCGGUAAUACGGAGGGUGCAAGCGUUAAUCGGAAUUACUGGGCGUAAAGCGCACGCAGGCGGUUUGUUAAGUCAGAUGUGAAAUCCCCGGGCUCAACCUGGGAACUGCAUCUGAUACUGGCAAGCUUGAGUCUCGUAGAGGGGGGUAGAAUUCCAGGUGUAGCGGUGAAAUGCGUAGAGAUCUGGAGG